rnacentral:rRNA from 1 species
AGUGGCGGACGGGUGAGUAACGCGUGAGAAUCUGCCUUGGGGUCGGGGACAACCACUGGAAACGGUGGCUAAUACCGGAUAAGCCGAUUGGUGAAAGAUUUAUUGCCCGAAGAGGAGCUCGCGUCUGAUUAGCUAGUUGGUGAGGUAAGAGCUCACCAAGGCAGCGAUCAGUAGCUGGUCUGAGACGACGAUCAGCCACACUGGGACUGAGACACGGCCCAGACUCCUACGGGAGGCAGCAGUGGGGAAUUUUCCGCAAUGGGCGAAAGCCUGACGGAGCAAGACCGCGUGAGGGAGGAAGGCUCUUGGGUUGUAAACCUCUUUUCUCAGGGAAGAAGCUCUGACGGUACCUGAGGAAUCAGCCUCGGCUAACUCCGUGCCAGCAGCCGCGGUAAUACGGAGGAGGCAAGCGUUAUCCGGAAUUAUUGGGCGUAAAGCGUCCGCAGGUGGCGAUUCAAGUCUGCUGUCAAAGCACGGGGCUUAACUCCGUAAAGGCAGUGGAAACUGAAUAGCUAGAGUGCCGUAGGGGUAGAGGGAAUUCCCGGUGUAGCGGUGAAAUGCGUAGAGAUCGGGAAGAACAUCGGUGGCGAAAGCGCUCUACUGGACGGCAACUGACACUCAGGGACGAAAGCUAGGGGAGCGAAUGGGAUUAGAUACCCC